UUGGAUCUAAAGCAAUGUAGCCAUGAUGGUUGUGGUUAUUAGUAAAGUUAUAGGUGUUUAAUGAAAAAAAAACAGUCAACAACCAUCGGCAAAGGAAAAUCGAAUGAAACAAACGGUGUGACAUCAGCUGGCCAAGAAAGAGUUUUUCUCAAUCAGAUGCCAUUUCUCUUCCUCCAAGCAGAAGCAGGGUUAGUUACCGGCGGGUGGUCAGUCGCUCUCUCGCAACCUUGGCCCGACGUUUGCCUUCCUUCAUUUUUAUUUAUUUACUGGGAAACGAUUUCCCUCAGCGGGCUGAUAAUCAUAGUGUGUCCAUCGCCUCCGUUGCGUGCCAUGCAUCCUCAGCAUAAAAACAAGUGCAAGCAUCUAUUUGAAUAACAAUGGAGUUGUUGUAAAUCUUGACGGCAAAUGAUUACUGUGAUGUAACGUAGCUUCAUUUUGUAGAUAUAAUCCUACAACAAGUUCCCAGUUAGAAAAAAAAAUCACAAUAAGACGGCUGUUGGAGAAAAAAAUCUAAAAAUAUAUGCAACAAGAUGUCUGUUACCAAAAAAUUGCAACAAGACAUCUAUUGUAAAAAAUUCUGCAACAAUAUGCGUUGUAAGAAACUUUUGCAAGAAGACAUGUGUUGCAAUGAUGGAUGGCAAUGCUCUUGGCCUCUCAAUGCGUCCAAUCUAACGCGCCCGGCUGUUUUUUUUUAAAUCACCCGACGAACGCGUAGCAUGCCGCUUAUUUUAUUAUAUAAAUCCUUGAUUGAUUCAACACAGCUCUAUGAGAGGGGGGUAGGGAAGGAGGGAGAGUGUAAGGUCAUCCGGCACUAGCCUUCCUUAGCCCGAUCUCCUCCGAGCUAGGCAGCCAAGUGAGGUUGGCCAUCUCUCCCUUGUGUUUUCUGUUGUUUAAUCCGUGGCGAUCCCUUGUGCAGAUCCAUACAGAGAUGUUAGGGCCUUUGGGGGAAGAGAAGGAGCUGGAGCAACAAGUUUCUUCUGUACGGCCAUCCGUUCUUUCUCCCAACCACAGCUUUGCCACGCAGGCUAGUUAAGGCAUGGCGAGCAACAAGGAUGCCGAGCUGGAGACACCACUUCUCAUGCCGGAGGAGGAAGGACCAACAGCCCCGUUGCUGGACCAAGGAUCACUGGAGCCGACACCACGUCCACGGCUCCCGCCACCGAAGUUUGGGGAGCUCAUCUCGGUGUUGAGCAUCGACGGUUGCGGGAUACACGGGCUCAUCCCGACGGUCGUCCUCAAAUGCCUCGAGGAAAAGCUCCAGGUAUGUCAACCACUUCUCUCUUGAAAUGAUAUGUUAUGUUGUUAGACGAACCACAUCUCUCUUGAAUUGUUAUGUUAUGUUGUUAGACGAAGUAAGCCGAUCCAUCUCCGCUGAUGUGUUUAGGCUAUUGACGGGGAAGAUGCCCGGAUAGCGGACUACUUUGACGUGAUCGCGGGCACGAGCGCGGGCGCCACCAUCGCGGCAAUGUUGGCGGUGCCGAACACGAACAAACGGACAAAGUACACCCCUCAGGAAAUCCAGGAUUUCUAUGUCAACAACGGACCUAAAAUCUUCCCUCCCAAGAGGUAGGUAUUCGAGAAAUAAAGUUUUCAUCUUUAUCGUCCGUAGAUAAUAUGUAUGUAAUUAGUUCACUAUUUGUUUCACAUUCACAGGUGGUGGCGAUGGCCUCUGGACCUGCUAAGCGCAUCGCGGGGGCUCAAGUACGACGGCACGUUCCUCCAGAAAAAGAAGAUCAAGGAAGUCAAGGAUGAGCACACGUUCGACGCCAAUAUUAUCGAGCCUCUCAUCUUCUCCUCGUUCCAGGAUGAUGCCGUGCAAAAACUAGUUGAAGAGGCCAAACCAGAGCCGCCGGAUGUCUGCAUUGGCCCGCCGUCGACGGCCACGUCAACCUACUUCCCGGCGCACUACUUCGAUAUCUGGGUCAGUGACAUGGAGCAGUCAAAACACCACCUCAUCGACGGCGGUAACAACCCCACAAUGGCUGCCAUAUCCAAGAUCACCAGGGAGCAACUUGUCAAGAACCCGGAGUUCCACUCCAACGGCGUGGAUUACAUGAAAUACCUCGUCAUCUCGGUAGGCGCAGGGUGUGCAUCAGUGCACGAAAAGGGGCUAUGCAUGAAAUCACGACGGACUGUGCCGGCCAAGUGGGGCGGCUUCAACUGGUUUCACAGCAGGCGCAAUAGCCGCAGCCCGGUCACCGGCACCUUCUCGCAUGCCAGCGCCGUGUUGGCCGACUGGCAGGUUCGCAUGCUCUUACACAAUGGCAACCACGUGCGGAAGCAGAACUACCUCUACAUCCAGGCUCAGGUAGAAGUGAUCAACCACCUUAUCCCCCAUUGCGUUCUAGUAGUCCCUGCAAACUAAAACAUGUGUAUGUAGGCACCACUGUUCUGGGAGGCCAUUUUGCCAAUGGACAACGCGACCUCGGAGAACAUGGCUGACCUACUCAACAUUGGCGACAAGUUGUUGGCAGAGAAGGUGGCUAUGGUGGACUUGACCACGGGGAAGUACGAGACCGUCGAGGACGAGAAUGCACCCACCAAUGAUGCAGAGCUCCGGCGCUUCUCCGAGCUUCUAGUUGUCGAGCGCAACUUGCGCCUUAAGGAACAACAACAACAACGACAAGCAGAAGAAGAGAACGGGCUUCAUUUGCUUAACAUUCUUGAAUAAUAAAUAGUAUAUGGUUGUACGUACCAAUCAUUGCAAAGACCUAAGUGUUGAGUUCUCCCUUACACUCGUGUUGAUCCACCGAGUCAUGAGCCUUAUCAUGGAAUCUAGAUCGUUGACCCUGCCAACCAAGCAAAAGUUUGUUAUGACUCGACGAGGAGAAGUAAACUACGAUGAGAAGAUAAGAAGGAGACAUAUUUUUGUGUCCGAGCGAGGCGUGCGCGAGGAGACCUGAUAAUUCAGUGGCCACCGUGAAGGUGGAGUCAGCAGCGACCACAAGUAUCAUGCGACCACAAGUAUGAUUGGGUGUUGCUAAUUGAUUGUAUCAUAUGAUCAUUGCGUUUUCUCGUAGCAACAACGCUCGGACACAUUCGUUAGUAAUCAAUAAUUUAUGGUUAUGCAUAUCAAUCAAUGAGAAAACCGAGGGUUGAUUUUCCUCUUACAUUAACAAACAGCUUAGCUAUCAUACUUACAAUACUAGCUAGCUAAUUGCUGAUGCUGACAUUACACAACAACCAUGUUGCAAAUGGUACUAAAAUUGACCAGCAUGCGAUGAGGACGAGUCCGGCCAGCACUCACACCAAUAUUCAUCUUUUUUUUAAAGAUUAAGAGUCGGGAUGAUAGUGCAUAACGAUGCGAAUGGUACCAAAAUAGAUCGAUGGGGGGACGGCCGGCCAGCAGCCAGAUUGAUGAGGACAAUUAAUAUCUCAUUUUUACUUAAGACGACACAGUAUUGUCUUAUUAUAGACCAGGUCCUAGAGUGUGAUGUACUCAUCUAUCCUUUAGUUUAUCUUCUGUUCGUUAGAGUGUGAUGUAUGCAUGUAUCCUCUACGUACAGUUUUCUUCUCCAGCACAACUAUAGCCUUUUUCUAGUGGGACAUUUACAUCCCCCCCACCCCCAAAAAAAAUUUGUGUCUGACCUCAUCUUUAUCGCUAAAUAAAAAGUGCUAAAACCUCUUCUUGAUAAGUGUAUGUCCUUUCGUCCAUUCAAAGGCCUUUGACCGUGAGAUUUUUCUAUAAGCACAAUUCACGAUGAAAGGCCUUUUAUCGGACGGAAAAUGUGUACAAGGUCAUUUCUAUAAAAAUACUUAACAAAAGAGGGACAAAGUUGAACAUCAUUUUUUAUUUAGCGGUAAAGAUGAGACCGGAAGCAAACUAGGGGAAGAAAUCGCCCCAAGAAAGCUAGGGCUCCACCGCCUCCCGCCGGGGCUGUCGGUAGUCCGCCCUGUCUCCGUUGGCCUUAGGGCCAUGGAGGCAGAGUGGAUCUCGGCCCUUGCUGGUGGGAGGGAUCCGUUUUUAGAUCUUUCAUCGAGUUAUAUUAGGAUUUGUGUUCUGUUCAGGAAGGCGAGAUGGUGGCGGCUCUGUGAGAUGGAAUAAAGGUCUCCCUGCCUAGCCCCCAUUCCGGUGAUGCGUCUAGCAUAAUCAGUGGGCGUGUGGAGGUGUGUUCUCUCGCGGGUCUGUCUUUGAUGGAUUUUCUCGGAUCUGCUCGAUGUUCUUCUUUGUUCGUAUGUUUUUAGGUUGGAUAAUUUCGAUCUACACUCUUCAUCUGCGACAGUUGAUGUUCUGGUGUGUUAAUCCUAUGAGGCCUUAGCACGACGACUUCCUGGUGUGUUGGGGGCCCCCUUGCGCCCAGGGGCCCGGGGCGACCGCCCCUCCCCACCCUCAGGACCGGGCCUGCGGGGCGGCACGCGAGCUCCACUUCCGUGGGCUCCUUCUCCUUCGUCUCCUCCGCCGCCGCGAUGGCGGGUCCUCCUUUCCCGCGCACACGUCCCCCCUUCCCGGGGCAGGGGACGGCGGCGGUGCAGCUCGGCGGCCUGCGGUCCGGCGACCCGUUGGUGGUGGCCGACGACGGGUGAGGUGGCGGCGCUACUCCUUGGCGGCAGGGCGGCGUGGUGGUGCGGGUUAGCUGGUUGCAUGAGUAUUUACUUGCGUUAAUUACAAAGACUCAAUCAAUGAUAAAAUUAUGCUUGGACCUCACCGCUAAUGUCAACGGUCACCACCUUACAUGCGUGAGUAUUUACUUGCGUUAAGACUUAUUUCCCUUCACACCAUUAUUAAUACUCAACUUUAAUUAUUUUACUAGCAUUUCCCCAUAUUAUCACCUCAAUAUAAUAAAACUAUUGCAGAGAAUCAAACUUGUCAUAUUGAGUGAUCUAAAAUUUAUGCAAGAUUUUAUGACAAACCAUGUAAAUAACCAAUUCAUGUUAACUCACUAAAUAAAUCAACUAAGGACUAUCCCAUACCAGCACGGUGCAUGAAAGAAAAGGGAAAAACAAACACAAAAGUUGCUUUAAGAAUUUACGCAUAUCAUGUGAGUGACAAAAAACCAGUGCAUAUUGAUAUUCCUGUUGGCGUCACCCUCGUUGCCGUGUCGCUUCUUGUUCCUCUUACAACUCUUUUGUGGUUUCACUCUCAUCUCACAAGACUUGGAAACACACAUACACACACUCAUGCACCAAGGAUGAGGAAUGCAUUGGCUUUGCCAAAGAGACUCCCUGGUGAGCACACGCUGGCUACACCUUUUCUUCUUGG
rnacentral:lncRNA from 1 species